UAUAAAGAUAUUUCAGUAAUAUUAAUAACAGCAUUGACAUUUAUGGUAAUAGUAGAAUUGAAAAAAGAAAAAAUCCCACAAACUAAACAAAUGGGAAAUUAUGUGUGGUUAUAAAGGUCUUCUGACUGACUCCUUGGUGGCUGAGCACUUUUGGGGGUAGACAUUUCACAAAAAAAAGAUAAAUUGAACGCUACGUCUACAAAGUGGCAGGGAUAUUGGUGAUGCAAGACCAAUCUUAUUAGAUACUAUCAUUCUGGACAUUGACACAGAAGCUGAGAAAAGGAAACUUAUGAUGGAACAUCUGCUAAAGUUAAAGAAAGGUGGGAAAGAAUGAAGGGCUCGGC